rnacentral:lncRNA from 1 species
GGUCUAACUUAGAAACCAUGUCUACGCGAAAUCCAAGACAUGAAAUGAUAUGAUUGAUUGAGAGAGAAUGAAUAUAAUUGGAUAACAAAUUAUUGUAUAGAAACUAUCCAUUGGAAACAUAGUUUCUAUAUAUAGUGUCUAUAGAAAUUAAUAGAUAUGGAAACUACAUAAAGUUUCUAGUAGCAUUGGAAGUGCCCUAAGGCCUGGUUCAGUUUCGAAUUUUUUUAGUUUUUAAAUACUAUAAUAUUUUUUGUUUUUAUUUAAUAAUUAUUAUUUAAUUAUAAAUUAAUUGGAUUUAAAAAAUUCAUGUUGCGAUUUAUAGAUAGUCUGUGUAAUCAAUUUUUGUUUUUAUUCAUGCAUGUGUCGU